GACGAACGCUGGCGGCGUGCUUAACACAUGCAAGUCGAACGGAAAGGCCCUGCUUUUGUGGGUGCUCGAGUGGCGAACGGGUGAGUAACACGUGAGUAACCUGCCCUUGACUUUGGGAUAACUUCAGGAAACUGGGGCUAAUACCGGAUAGGAGCUCCUGCUGCAUGGUGGGGGUUGGAAAGUUUCGGCGGUUGGGGAUGGACUCGCGGCUUAUCAGCUUGUUGGUGGGGUAGUGGCUUACCAAGGCUUUGACGGGUAGCCGGCCUGAGAGGGUGACCGGCCACAUUGGGACUGAGAUACGGCCCAGACUCCUACGGGAGGCAGCAGUGGGGAAUAUUGCACAAUGGGCGGAAGCCUGAUGCAGCAACGCCGCGUGCGGGAUAACGGCCUUCGGGUUGUAAACCGCUUUCGCCUGUGACGAAGCGUGAGUGACGGUAAUGGGUAAAGAAGCACCGGCUAACUACGUG
rnacentral:rRNA from 1 species